rnacentral:rRNA from 1 species
UACAGGGGGUGCAAACGUUGCUCGGAAUCAUUGGGCGUAAAGCGCACGUAGGCGGUCUUUUAAGUCGGGGGUGAAAUCCUGGAGCUCAACUCCAAAACUGCCUUCGAUACUGGAAGACUUGAGUCCGGGAGAGGUGAGUGGAACUGCGAGUGUAGAGGUGAAAUUCGUAGAUAUUCGCAAGAACACCAGUGGCGAAGGCGGCUCACUGGCCCGGUACUGACGCUGAGGUGCGAAAGCGUGGGGAGCAAACAGG